rnacentral:rRNA from 1 species
CGUCUAAAGAUACUGCCCGGUAACGGGAGGAAGGUGGGGAUGACGUCAAGUCCUCAUGGCCUUUAUAUCCAGGGCUACACACGUGCUACAAUGGGCUGUACAAAAGGUUGCGAACCCGCGAGGGUAAGCCAAUCCUAUAAAGCAGUUCUAAGUUCGGAUUGGAGUCUGCAACUCGACUCCAUGAAGCUGGAAUCGCUAGUAAUCGCGGAUCAGCACGCCGCGGUGAAUACGUUCCCGGGCCUU